rnacentral:lncRNA from 1 species
CCCCCGCGAAUCUUUCGCCUCUUGUCCUGCCUGAUUUCUGCAGGAUCUUUAGGGUCUUUGUUUGAAAUGUUCUCCGGGACCUCCGCCUCUAGUGGUUCCAGGAGUUUGUCUGCCUCAGCCCCUCAGAACCCCCUCACUGUAGACGAACCCUCAUCUAGGGCUGGGCCUUACCCGAUUUUUGUGCCAAGUGCCAUUCCCUAUU